rnacentral:rRNA from 1 species
AUUGAACGCUGGCGGCAUGCUUUACACAUGCAAGUCGAACGGCAGCGCGGGCUUCGGCCUGGCGGCGAGUGGCGAACGGGUGAGUAAUGCAUCGGAACGUGCCCAGCAGUGGGGUAUAGCCCGGCGAAAGCCGGAUUAAUACCGCAUACGACCUGAGGGUGAAAGCGGGGGACCGAAAGGCCUCGCGCUAUUGGAGCGGCCGAUGUGGGAUUAGCUAGUUGGUGGGGUAAAGGCUUACCAAGGCGACGAUCCGUAGCUGGUCUGAGAGGACGACCAGCCACACUGGAACUGAGACACGGCCCAGACUCCUACGGGAGGCAGCAGUGGGGAAUUUUGGACAAUGGGGGCAACCCUGAUCCAGCCAUGCCGCGUGCGGGAAGAAGGCCUUCGGGUUGUAAACCGCUUUUGUUCGGGAAGAAAUCCUCUGGGCUAAUACCCCGGGGGGAUGACGGUACCGGAAGAAUAAGCACCGGCUAACUACGUG